rnacentral:rRNA from 1 species
UACGUAGGGGGCAAGCGUUGUUCGGAGUUAUUGGGCGUAAAGCGCGCGUAGGCGGUGCGGUAAGUCUGUGGUGAAAGCGCUCGGCUUAACUGGGCGAGGGCCGGGGAGACUGCCACGCUGGAGGGGAGGAGAGGCGAGUGGAAUUCCGGGUGUAGUGGUGAAAUGCGUAGAGAUCCGGAGGAACACCAGUGGCGAAGGCGGCUCGCUGGGCGCUACCUGACGCUGAGGCGCGAAAGCGUGGGGAGCGAACCGG